GCUAUGUUAGUUUAUAAAGAAUAUGUGAUUUGUAAUUACGAGGAUUUUGUUAGCU
rnacentral:tRNA from 1 species